rnacentral:lncRNA from 1 species
AGGUUUGAUGAAAAUUAAAAGCAGAUUUUAUAAGCAGAUAUUACGAUUUUAUAAUAGGGGCAGAAGCAUUUACAAUGAAAAGAACCCCUCGAUUAUUUGAGGAUCCACAAGAUAAUCUACUGAAGAGUUUCACAACCCAUGGACAGAAAUAGAAUUAACUGUCCGUGCCCGCAUAUUCACCUUCUUUGUGAGAAAGAUGCAGCAACUAGCACCUUCUCUUUCUCUGGCCUUGCUCUGCCUCCCAACUCCAAGAAGAGAGGAAGGCACCAGGAGACUUGAGAAUCUUGAGCUCCAGGUUGUGAUGCUAUUUGAACACCUACCCAGAAUUCAACAGAAAGGGAUAAAAAAGCAGAAGGAAUCAGACCGCAGUAAGUAAGGCUGCCCACCCUGAGAACACUGUUCCAGAGAGUUCUGCCACUCACCCAAUGCUCACAGACACAGGAACAUGAGUCAUCAAUGAGACACUGUUACCACCCGCCUUUCUCCCCCAAGCCUCCCUAAAAAAAAGGAGGAAAUGGCCUCUGACAUUGGGAUGUAUGAACAAGAGUUCCACACACGGCAGAAAGCAUGAGAACUUCUGCCACAGACUUCCGCACUGGUUAUAGGAUGCUGGCCUCAUGUUUGGUUUUCAAACCUCAAAUCUAAAGAAAAUGUCACUUGAAGUAUGAUUUGUUGUGAGCAAUAUAAAGGCUGAUUCAGAAGGAAAAACAAAGCCCAAAUAGAACUACUGUUAUAUGACUUCUAUGAUUUUUUAAAUAAUUAUAAUUUUUAAAAGGGAUAUUUGGCCAUUGAAAGAAGGAAAAUG